AUCAUCAUUCAGGGAACGUGUAUACAAAGUUAUCUCAAACGAGUAUUUAAAUAUUACUACUUUAAGAUGGGAUGCUGUGAAGUAUUGAAAAUCGCUUUUAGUGUCAUCAAUGCAUUAUGUACGCCUGUACUUAUUGCGGCAAUAUACGGUGUGAACAAGGGAUAUCUUUAUGAUUUUGCACCAUUCGUUUUACUUUAUGUAGUCUCGCUAUUCAUCAAUGUACAUCUUAAUAUGCUCAAUUUGGAACGCACAUUUAAGACGAAUCGCAGAUUAGUUAUAACAUGUGCUUCCUGCUCGAUCUAUUUUAUUUUUUUGCGAUUAUUGAAACUUAAUAUAGUAAUUGUAUUUAUAUUCUUCAUACAUUUUAUUAACUUUUUGAUCCUAUGUUACCUUGUUAUUUCGCUUAUUAUUGUGUGUUUAAUACACUUGGAUUUUCGAAAGAAUCAAAACACGGCGCUUGAUACUGAAAUGAAUACGAUCGAAACGUUACCAGAGUAAUGAGAGAUCUGAUAUCGAUACUACAAUUCAUUUCGAGAAUUUAUUAUUGGGUACAUAUUCAACGCUCAAUGCUCAACUACCUCAGAAGAUUUAAAGUAGACUUUUAUCUAAAAUAUCUAGUGAUAAUAUCUAGUGAUGCGAGUUAUUUUUAUUACUGUAAAUUGUUUUAUACUUCAAUCAAAAUCAAGUCAAAUAUAUUAAAAAAAUUAUAUUAAUAUAUAAGUUGCUUAAUAUUUAUAACUUUCUAGUGGAGUGCAAAAUUAGCUUGCAUACAUAAUUCUCUGAACUUUUGAACUUGAUUCAAACUAUGGCAGCCUCAAUGAAUCUGCAUGCGAUUGCUCAGAUGUAGAAUACGGCGGUGUCUACAGUUUCUGAACACCGGAGUCUAUUUCAAUUUUCACAUUUACUUUUGUUUGUACUCAUCAAUAUGCGAAUACUUAUCGAUCUUCUUUAUUUACAUUUCUCUCUCGCUUGCUCAAAUUCUCUUUUUGGCAAUCGGCUUUUAAUGUUGAUUAGCUCGGGUAAGUUAAUACACAACGUACAAACAAAGCAUAAAUCAUGGGAAAAAUGUGGAUUUAGUAUUUUAAUGUCUUAUUGUAAUAUUAAUUUUCUUAAAAAAUUGACUUAACAUUUUGUUUUAAUUUUAUUAAAAAAAUGAAAGAGCAAAAUCAAGAUUUCUCUUUUGGCGGUAAAUUCAAGAGAAUCCACUUAGGUUCCACAUUGCGAGACUUCUAAUUUUUCGAAUAGACAUGCGUUGCUACAAAUAUCAGCAGUGUGCCCAAAACCAUCAUCCAGUGAACGUGUAUUCAAGAUUAUUGCAAUUGAGUAUUUAAAUAUUACCAACUAAAUAUGGGAUUCAAUGAAGUAUUGAGAGUCACUUUUAGAAUCAUCAAUGCGUUAUUAACGCCUGUGUUUAUUAUGGUAAUAUGCGGAGUGAACACACGACCUCAUCUAGGUUUUCCGCGACCUUUAGUUUUAUUUACUUAUUUACUUUGCCUUAUCGCGCUAUCGAUCAAUGUACAUCUAAAUAUGCUCAAUUUUGAACGCACAUUCAAGACGAAUCGUAGAUUAUUGAUAACAAUUUUCUCCUGCUCAAUCUUUAUUUGUUCAUUGCACUAUACGG